rnacentral:rRNA from 1 species
GAUUAACGCUGGCGGCGUGCCUAACACAUGCAAGUCGAGCGGCAGCGAGUUUUACACUGAAUUCUGGAAGCUUCUAGUUGAAAGAGAAGAUAUAUUCAAGAAUUUUGUGUAAAAUGUCGGCGAGCGGCGGACGGCUGAGUAACGCGUGGGAACGUACCCCAAAGUGAGGGAUAACGCAUCGAAAGGUGUGCUAAUACCGCAUAUGGUCUUCGGAUUAAAGCCUUCGGGCGCUUUGGGAACGGCCUGCGUAAGAUUAGAUAGUUGGUGGGGUAAUGGCCUACCAAGUCGACGAUCUUUAACUGGUUUGAGAGGAUGAUCAGUCAGACUGGAACUGAGACACGGUCCAGACUCCUACGGGAGGCAGCAGUGAGGAAUCUUCCACAAUGGGCGAAAGCCUGAUGGAGCAACGCCGCGUGCAGGAUGAAGGCCUUCGGGUUGUAAACUGCUUUUAUAAGUGAGGAUUAUGACAGUAACUUAUGAAUAAGGAUCGGCUAACUACGUG